UACGUAGGGGGCAAGCGUUGUCCGGAAUUAUUGGGCGUAAAGAGCGUGUAGGCGGUCCGGUAAGUCCGCUGUGAAAGUCCAGGGCUCAACCCUGGAAUGCCGGUGGAUACUGCCGGGCUAGAGUCCGGAAGAGGCGAGUGGAAUUCCUGGUGUAGCGGUGAAAUGCGCAGAUAUCAGGAGGAACACCGAUGGCGAAGGCAGGUCUCUGGGCAUUAACUGACGCUGAGGAGCGAAAGCAUGGGGAGCGAACAGG
rnacentral:rRNA from 1 species